GCACAAGCGGUGGAGCAUGUGGUUUAAUUCGACGCAACGCGAAGAACCUUACCAGGGCUUGACAUCCCCUGACCGCGUAUGAAAGUACGUUUUCACCCUCGGGUGACAGGGAGACAGGUGGUGCAUGGUUGUCGUCAGCUCGCGUCGUGAGAUGUUGGGUUAAGUCCCGCAACGAGCGCAACCCUUGUCCUUAGUUACCAGCACGUAAUGGUGGGAACUCUAAGGAGACUGCCGGUGACAAACCGGAGGAAGGUGGGGAUGACGUCAAGUCAUCAUGGCCCUUACGGCCAGGGCUACACACGUGCUACAAUGGUCGGUACAAAGGGUUGCCAAGCCGCGAGGUGGAGCUAAUCCCAUAAAACCGAUCGUAGUCCGGAUCGCAGUCUGCAACUCGACUGCGUGAAGUCGGAAUCGCUAGUAAUCGUGAAUCAGAAUGUCACGGUGAAUACGUUCCCGGGCCUU
rnacentral:rRNA from 1 species